rnacentral:rRNA from 1 species
GUCGAGCGGUAGAGAGAAGCUUGCUUCUCUUGAGAGCGGCGGACGGGUGAGUAAUGCCUAGGAAUCUGCCUGGUAGUGGGGGAUAACGUUCGGAAACGGACGCUAAUACCGCAUACGUCCUACGGGAGAAAGCAGGGGACCUUCGGGCCUUGCGCUAUCAGAUGAGCCUAGGUCGGAUUAGCUAGUUGGUGGGGUAAUGGCUCACCAAGGCGACGAUCCGUAACUGGUCUGAGAGGAUGAUCAGUCACACUGGAACUGAGACACGGUCCAGACUCCUACGGGAGGCAGCAGUGGGGAAUAUUGGACAAUGGGCGAAAGCCUGAUCCAGCCAUGCCGCGUGUGUGAAGAAGGUCUUCGGAUUGUAAAGCACUUUAAGUUGGGAGGAAGGGCAGUUGCCUAAUACGUAACUGUUUUGACGUUACCGACAGAAUAAGCACCGGCUAACUCUGUGCCAGCAGCCGCGGUAAUACAGAGGGUGCAAGCGUUAAUCGGAAUUACUGGGCGUAAAGCGCGCGUAGGUGGUUUGUUAAGUUGGAUGUGAAAUCCCCGGGCUCAACCUGGGAACUGCAUUCAAAACUGACUGACUAGAGUAUGGUAGAGGGUGGUGGAAUUUCCUGUGUAGCGGUGAAAUGCGUAGAUAUAGGAAGGAACACCAGUGGCGAAGGCGACCACCUGGACUAAUACUGACACUGAGGUGCGAAAGCGUGGGGAGCAAACAGGAUUAGAUACCCU